AUUGAACGCUGGCGGCAUGCCUUACACAUGCAAGUCGAACGGCAGCACGGGAGCAAUCCUGGUGGCGAGUGGCGAACGGGUGAGUAAAGUAUCGGAACGUGCCCAGUCGUGGGGGAUAACGUAGCGAAAGUUACGCUAAUACCGCAUACGAUCUAUGGAUGAAAGCGGGGGAUCGCAAGACCUCGCGCGAUUGGAGCGGCCGAUAUCAGAUUAGGUAGGUGGUGGGGUAAAGGCUCACCCAGCCGACGAUCUGUAGCUGGUCUGAGAGGACGACCAGCCACACUGGGGCUGAGCAACGGCCCAGACUCCUACGGGAGGCAGCAGUGGGGAAUUUUGGACAAUGGGCGAAAGCCUGAUCCAGCCAUGCCGCGUGCAGGAUGAAGGCCUUCGGGUUGUAAACUGCUUUUGUACGGAACGAAAAGGUUUGGCCUAAUAAGCUGAGCUCAUGACGGUACCGUAAGAAUAAGCACCGGCUAACUACGUGCCAGCCGCCGCCGUAA
rnacentral:rRNA from 1 species